rfam:Triticum aestivum genome assembly, contig: Triticum_aestivum_CS42_TGACv1_scaffold_288245_4AL
UAAGUACUCCCUCCGUUCGGAAUUACUUGUUGCAUAACUGGAUGUAUCUAGAUGUAUUUUAGUUCUAGAUACAUCCAUUUUCGAGACAAGUAAUUCCGAACGGAGGGAGUAGUUU